CCGUUGCCCGAGGCGGGAAAGCGGCGCCGCCGUUUGAGGAAGCGGGUUUGGCAGCGGCCUCCGGGACAGGGCGGGAGCGGCCUACUCGGGCCUGGCGGAGAGGGACGGCGCCUCUGGGCUCGCCGGGGAAGGGCUGCCGGCGCCAUGGGACGAGGGGAAUGGCCCUAUGUUUACGCUUCUCUCCCCCCCGCAGGCAGAAUCUGCCGGCGGGAGGGCUCCGCCGCGGAGCACGGAGCAUCGCCCGUGUUCCUGAGCCUCUCCUGAGGGGAGCGGGAUCGUCCUUCCUUGAGGAUGCGCUGCUGGCUUUCAACAUACAUUGAAAGGCUGAGGGAGCUGGGUCUCUUUAGUUUGGAGAAGAGGAGACUGAGGGGUGACCUCAUUAAUGUUUAUAAAUAUGUAAAGGGUGAGUGUCACGAGCAUGGAGCCAGGCUCUUCUCGGUGACAACCAAUGGUAAGACAAGGGGCAAUGAGUGCAAACUGGAACACAGGAGGUUCCACUUAAAUACGAGAAGAAACUCCUGCACAGUGGGGGUAACAGCACUGGAACAGGCUGUCCGGGGGGGUUGUGACGUCUCCUUCUCUGCAGACCUGCCUGGACACAUUCCUGUGUAGCCUCAUCUAGGUGUUCCUGCUCCAGCAGGGGGAUUGGACCAGAUGAUCUUUUGAGGUCCCUUCCAAUCCCUAGCAUUCUGUGAUUCUGUGAUACCAAUUCAAUCUUAAUGCUAUCCCAUCGGGUUAUUAACUUUCCAGAGCGGCUGUGCGAUUAGCAGCAGUAGUGAUAGAGGAAGAACAUUUAUGUGAAAACACGCAGGGAAGCAGAUUUGAGGGAAACAAAGCAUCAAGCCUUCCAGACAUCAAGUAAUCUUGUUCACCUGAGCAGGCCCUCCUCAGUUCAGAAUGGGCUGUUCAUGUGUGGAAUAUGUUUCCAUGCUUGGGGCCCUGACCUAAUACUUGAAUACUCAGUUGUGGUGUUCCCAUGCACAAUUUAAGUGCUUUCAAACUAAAAUCAGUGUCCCUUGUCACUGUGGGUUUGUGCUGUGUAAUGGAUAGCAAACAAAAGGAUAACAUUAGUGUCUGAUUAUAAUGACAGUGCCACAUUUUUAAUCAAAACUAGAAACCAGUCCUUGAGUAAUUACUCCAGAGAAACUUUAGGAAACUUCUGUUGGUUGCACCUGAUUGUUUUCUGUCCAAAGUAUUUGUCAACUACUUUUCUGACAGUGGUAAAAUUAAAUUGACGGUAAUUUGUUUGUAUAAAUCUAAGUACAUUCAUCUGCCUCCAAAAAUCAAAGGAUAUUUUUUUCAGUAUACACUAUUAAGCAAUGCAAGCCAGGAAUUAUGUUCUGAGGUAAAGAAGGUAGAAAGUCAUUUCUGCUGAAAGUACCAAGAGACCUAGGCAUUUCAAAAGCUUUAAGGUCAGGUUAAAUGGCCCAUUAAGGUAUUGUGAAUUAUCUUACUUAAUACAGGAGUUAUGAUUUCUGAGAAAGUUUGUGUUUUUUCUCUCUUCUGGAAGCAAAAAAUACUAAUUAAGAAAAAUAAUAAAAAUAUGUGUAGUUGGCUUUGGAUUAGUUUCUGUGCAUAAGUAAUGUGUGUUUUGUACUGAGGUGGGUAGAACCCAGUAUCUGAAAUUACUUGGUUUAAACUGAUUAUUUAAUUACUUUUCUGAUCGAACUAGUAAUUAAAUGUGUAGGGAUGAUAGAGUGUUUUUGUGUGUGUGUGGUUUGGUUUGGGGUUUUUUUGUGUGUUUUGUUUUUUGGCUGGUUGGUUUGUUUUUUGGUUUUGUUUGUUUGUUUUUAUAGCAUUUUUAUUCCAUAUACUCUUUGAGGAGGAACUCUGGACUGUUGGGCUGACGUAUCAAUGUUAGUUUUCAGCUUUUGCUGAAACUGUCCCUGAUCAUGAUUUUAUAUAUUACUCACAACAAAUAUGUAUUGUGGUUCCGUAAGUGUUCCUCAUAUUUAUUUGCCUUCUGUGGAUUUUGGCAUAGCUAAAACUCUAUAUGUACAAUACCCAGUCCUCAUAGAUAAAAUACUAACAUAAAGAAAAACACCUACUUGAAAGCAGAAAGAACUGCACCUUGGAAUAGAGGCCAUUAUAAACCACCCUCUUGACAUAUGCUUCCCAUAGCAAAUAGAAUUGUUGUACAUAUGUAAAACCUUGUAAAAGGAAAAUAAAUACUGCAGAUGAGGUAAUUUUUCAGUCUUUAGGGAGGUUAUUAAGGAAUUUGUACAGUGUGGAAAGGUGCCAAUAUGGAGUGGGUGCUUUGUUAGAUUGUACUGCUCUCAUGUAAAGAAGGUGCUUUCCAAAGUGCUAUUGCAAACAGCAAAAAGGAGAUUUGGCUAAAGAUUUUUCUUAAAACAUCACAGUGAUGGCUUCAGGUAGAAACAGUGGAUUUAGACUGUAAAAAAAUCUAGGUAAACAAAACACCUUGCUUUUGUUCUUUAAGUUUUGUUUUGAUCUGAACAGUCAAGUAAUAACAUAUGGCUCUCUGUACUUAGGACAAGCAGCACAAGUCUGGUAUCAAGAACUACCAUAUUUAACUAUAAAUUCAUAAAAAUAAUUAACCUUAUAUGUGGUUCUAUUUUUAUAGCAGUAUCAAGACAGAAAAUAUAAAUACAGAUUGCUUUCAAAAAUUUUUGCUUUGACCCUAGCUGUGUUCUUCAUUGUGGCCUUAUUUAAACUGUAGAGGCUUAUUUCAUUAGUUUUUUUAACUGCAAAAUGGGAAUAAUAAAAGCAUGUCCUGAGUGGUGAUAAGAAGCUAGAUUAAUCAAAGUGCUUUGAGGUUAAAAUAUAACACUAUGAUACGAACACAUAGGUGAGGUUUUUCAACACUAGGAGUUACUGCAACUAAUCCUUGUGUCCUCUAGAUGUUUCUCUGCCUUCACCAAAACAAAAUAAUACUUAAGUCUCUACAAGGCUGCCAGGUUAUAGAUCUAUGAAUAAUGUCUAAAGGAGGAUGAAUUACAAAGGAGCCAUUUUAUAGAUGGUGGCACUAAAGCACGGGAAAGCUAAAUAAAUGCUUUGGCCAGGGGAGGGAGUGCUUCCAGCUACAGCAGCUUUCAGUGCAGUACCUGAUCCUUUGCCUUACAAAAACGUUCAUCUUACAUUGAAUCUGGCCUUUGUUUUCACAAGCUCUUAGAGUUUAUCAUCCUGUAUCCACUUCUGUUUCCAGGUUAUGUGGAUUUUUUUCCCCACAUAUAGCUAGACAGAUGCUGACACUUUAUGUCAGUAUGCCUGGUUUUGGGAUUAAAGAAUGAAGGUCCCAUAUGAUAGAACAGUCUAAAGAAAAGAAAACAAAACAAAACCAACAAAAACAACAAACAACUCUACACAAACCUAACAGAAACAAAAAAACAAACCCACAAAUUACAUUAUAAAAAUGAGCAUUACCAGAAUGCCUGCUGUUAAAGACUACAGUUUCUUAGGUUGAAACAGGCGAACUGUUUCUUAUGGUGUUAUGUAUAAGCAUUGACACAGUCACUCACAGGUUGUUUAUAACUACCAUAAAAAGCAGUGAAUAUUAAAAACGUGGGUUAUAGUGAAGAUGAACAAGAAUUACAUAUUCCUGAACUUGAUUCAUAUUCAAGAUUUGCAUGUGGUUUUUGUCUCUUACUGGGAUAUAGAAACUGCCAUACCAAGUAAAGGCAGUGUCCUAUCUCAUUUCCUUAUUGACACUGUCUUUAUUUGCCUUCUGGUGCUCCCUGUGAGGUGAACGAGUGCUGUUACUCCUUUUGGAAAGGGGGAAGCAGAAUGCAGAGAAGCGAAGAGGCUUUAACAAUGCCGUGCAGGAAUUCCGCAUGCGGAAAUGGAUCCUGGGAUCUUAAGUUCCAUUACUAGAUUCCUCGUUAUGAGGUCAACUUUUUUUUAUUUCCUUGCUAGUGAUCUACAUCAAAAGUUCCAAAAUAGGCAAGCACAAGUGCUCUCUAUUUGACACUGAUUCCGUAAUCAGUCUGUAGUUGGCAUAUGACUUGUGGAGUCACAUCUAUCUCUCUCUGUUUUUUAAAUUGUGAAUCAUUACCCAGAUAAAUAUGAAAAUAUGUGGGGUUUUUAUAUUCUCCUUUUCAAUUGACUUCCUUAAUAUAUUUAGCAAUGGGCUUUAUAGGUUAAUGGUUUUUAAUAGAAAUUACAUUUUAAUUAAAAAUGUAUUUCUUUAACUGCUGUCGUAUGUUUUAAAACUGGGGACAUGGGAAUUGUGUGUUUAACUUUUUCACAUCUCAUUACAUUCAUUAACAUUUCAUUACAUUAUCAUUCAUUCUUUUGUACUUCUCUGUCAUUAUCGUAGCUAGCUUCUACACAGAAAUUAAAGAUAAUUUUGACAAUAUUUCUGUCCAGAAGAUCAGAUAUGUAUCAUAUAAACCUGUUAAGAGGUUCAGACUUCUGACCAGGUGAUAGAUUUGGUUUCUCUGACAAACAUAGCUGCUACUGUGAUCUGUUUGCACAUACCGUAAGUGAGGAAAUUUAGAGUCAUGGGUUAAACUGUAAUUUACAACCUUUGGUGAUAAAAGGGAAGCAGUAAUACAUAACAUCUCAGGUUCUUCACACUUUCUGGUUUGUAUGAAGACAGAUUUUAGCAGUUAAUAUGUUUAAUAAACUGAAAUUCUUGAGUGCAAUUAAUAGUGUACUUACAGUAUUAUUUAUACAAAAAAUAUAUUCUUGAUUUUUUUAUGACUCAGAAGACUUCACCCACUAAAUCUAGUAGCCCACAUUUUUGUAUAUUUGAAAAGAAUAGUUGUAGCUUAUUUGCAUUAAUUUUUUCCUCAGUUCUAUUUCUGGUCUUUUAAGUGAAGUGAGAGGCUUUAUUUUUCUUUCUGUCAGAUCAAGGAGGUAGACUUCAGGUUUUUUGGGGGCAUUUAGCAGAACUAAAUUUCCCCAAAGAAAGAAACAGAAAAACACAUAGAAGAAUUUAUAGGUAGAGUGGUGUGGAAGAAGAGAUUUGUUUUAUUUUAGCUAAGUUUGCUUUUAUGCUGUCGUUUGGCUAAAGGCUGAGAAAGCAAAUGGUCUGUAAAUGAGAACUUCUUGAAUAUUCAAGAGUCUAACAAGUAUAAAUUUAGAAAGUAAAUACGUUAUUUUAAACGAUGUUUUGUGAACAUAACUGUAACAUACUCUACUUCUUCUCUGUUCCAUUCUGAUACAAAUAAAUUACAUUUACCCACUUUUCAGACAGGUUGAAUGUGGAGCAUUUUAUAGCUUGUACUGAACAAGGGUGGGUUUUUUUAAUACUCUGGAAUUUCAUCAAAUACAUAAUUCAUUCAAAUCCUUCCAUUCUUGCUGUGGCAAGCUUGCGUUGGUUAACACUUGAGGCUUUCUUUGGUUGCCCGUACACACGUCUCAUGCCAUUUGAGAUGCCCAGUUGGCAGCUGCUGCAGCAGAAAGGUGUCAGUUGGCGCAGGUCCUCUGCCGUGCCUGCACAGAGCUGGCAGGUAUCACAAGAGUCUGAAGGCUUCUGAGGCUGCAUCGGGUAUCUAUGUUCUGAAUGAAUCCUCCGCAAAUGUCAUUUGCAUGGACAUGCCCAGUCACAUCAGGAGUUCCUCACAUUUUGUCUGGUCUUGAAUCCUAUAAAACAUCUUGUCUUUGGAGGGAGUUGUCACAGAGUUGCUGCCUGCCUCCUACAUUAUGCCCAAAUCCAGUUCUGGGUCUGGGGGGACAUUAUGCUAGCUAUUUGUGUUCAAUUUUGUUUUCCUGUCUCAACUAUUCAAGGGUCAUUUUGCAAAAGGACAAAAGUAUUAUUUUUUUUUUUUUUUUUCCUGAAACUCUCGGUGAACUGUGAUAAAAAUAUAACAUUUCUUUAGAUGCCAAGAAUUUAUUUUAGCAAUGGUGGGAAUUUUCCAUCAUUUUCCUAGUGUAAAUAGUCUGACUCAUAAUUUUCAGGGACUAGUUCAAAGGUCAGGUUUUCUUCCUAUUUUUGGUUAAAUUAAACCAGAACUGAGUGGUGUACCACCUGAAGUAUGUUGCUCUUAUCUGGAUUUUUUGCUGUCUUUAGUUUUCUUCCACGAAGACCAAGUGUUACGCUGUGAUCACUCCUAAAACAGAAUAGGAAAUAAACAUUAUUCUCUCAAAUGGAAGUUAUUGGCAGAAACAGCCAAAACAUUUUGUAAAAAAUAAUUUAAUAAACUUUAGAGUAUUAGCGCUCAAGUGCUGAAACUAAGUUUUCAUAGUAUGUGAGGCCUCUGAAGGCACGAAGAUCAGAAAAUUAAUAGCAGCAGUAGCUGCUGACAUGGGAAAAAAAAAAUUAGUGGAAAACUAGUAAACUGAAAGUCCUUUAUCCUCCUUUCCAGUCCUGAGUUCUCUGAGUUUUGUCUGGCAAGGAAAGCAGGGAAUCUGUCUGACUUUUAAAUAAUUACUGACGUAUUACUCUAUUGCAGGCUAGUAGCAAAGAGCAGCUGUGCCUUGUAGCCAGAGCCAACUUCUUCCUUUCCCAUCCCCCAUUUCUGACUGCCUUCCCUGGAGAAAGCUAUCUCACUAUUAAAUAAACUAGGGCUGGGUUGCAAGACAAACCAAGAUUUCAUUAGAAAAAUAUUUACUCAUGCAUAAAGAAGCCCUUUUCAAAAACUUCACUACUUAGGAAACUACGAGAUUUUGAGGGUAAUAAAUAAAAGCAGAUUUGUUGCACUUAGAGUUGUAAAGCUGCCAUCUUUCGUGAGCCUGGGAAGAGUGACCUUAUUCAUCAUAAGGCUUUGCCAAUUCUGGUUCCACUCAACUAUUCUCUUCCUGAUAUAUAUGAGUCAUCUGGGCCAUGCUUAACUGAGAGGUUUAGUGCCCAAAAAGUAAGGGAGUUAAUUAUAGUUGUUGGCUUUUUGACAAACUACCCUUCUUUUUCCCACAUUCAUUACCAGUUUUAACUGAAAAUUAACAUUUCUUGGGAGGCGAAAUACCAGUACUGUGGUAAAAAGUUCUGUAAGAAAUCAAUACCAAACCAUUUCCAUUUUCCAUUUAUAUUGAGCCAGAACCACAGCAAUAAAAAGGUCCUUCAAUGUCCUCAUCUUCAAAUUGUGUUCUGAUUGUAAAAAAAGAAAAAGAAGAAAAAAAGUAGGAGUUCUUGGCAAAGUCAUGGAACUGCCAAAAUUCGUGAUAUCUCCGCUUAGCUUUGCAUUUAAGAUGAAUGUAAAUCUGGCUUCCUGACUCCUUGCAUUUUCAGUAAAUAACUGUUAUCUGGAAAAGUGCACGAAUGUGUGGAGGAGUCUUGCUCAAAUUCCUGUUUUAAUAAUACACACGGUGACUCCUUGAAUUCCUCUUGGCAUUUCAUUAGGGACACCAUCUUCCUCUACUGCCCUGCAGGGGUAAGCAGGUGCCCUGUUGUAGCCCACCAUCCAGUGAUGAGGGAAGCGACAUGUUUCACAUCAUUUGUGUUGUGCUCUGACGUAUUUUGAGAUGUAAGGAAUGCAAAAAAUACCAUGAAAACAUCAGCGCUCUUGCACCCUGAGGAAGGCUACUGUGGGGCGCCGCACAUUAGGACUCUGGGCGUGGCUGCUGGUAUGGAAUCUAUGUCAUUGAGCAUAACAAACCUUUCACACCAGACCUAAGAACCGUAUUACUUACAAUUACUCUGCAUACUAUUUUGUUUUGCACUGGGGUGGAAGCUUGGAAGUGGUACAUUUAUGUAAUAUUUGUUCAAAUGUUAAAUGAAACUGCAGCCAAAUCUGUAGCUUGAUUGCAUCUACAUGGAUGUGGAGUUAAUGAAUCAUGUAAUAAUUUUACAAUUCAAAAAUCUGGAAAUCUUUCCAUGGAAAAAUAUUUAAUAAAGGGAAAAAUGCCAUGUCUUCUUACAAAGAGAACAAACAAAAAUCUUGAGAAAGGUGAAGAGUGGGAAAUGUCUGUCUCAGCCUGGCAGGUGCUCUUGAAACCUGCACACUGUUCAGUGAGAUGAGAUGCUUGUAUUUGAGGAGGUUAGUCCUUACUCAUUUGAGAAAGAGCAUCCUCGUCCCCAAGCCAUGAUUAAAUAAAGCAAUUGUAGCACCAUAUUUUUGUCAAAGAGGACAGCCACUGGUGUUCCAGCUGUUUGUGAAAGGGAGUGAAAAGCAGCCUAUGUUAUCAGAAUAGGUUUCAGUUUUAGCUAGCCUCAUAUGAAAGGAGCCAUCUUGUGGUUGUCUCUUUUGCAAAUAAAAUGUUGCUGUAAUAUGGCUUUGAAAAGCUAAGCUUAAAGAUAUGUCUAUACUUCUGUGAUAAUUUUUCUCCUUCUUGUUUAGAAAUGUUACCAAAACUUGACCUUAUACGUGUUUUCACUCAGAGAAAUUUUUUAUCCUAUCAAAUUACUGAUUCUACCAAAUCUUCAGAGUUAAAAUACCACAUCUCUCUAUUCAUACAGGAUUAAACUGGCUAUGUGCAGUCUGUGUCCCCUACUACUCAAUCCACCCUAAUAUUUGCUAGUCCUCUGAGCUCUUGCUCAGAACUCUAAUCUGCACUCUAAAUUUUGCUUUAAACUGUGACAGCAUGUCUUCUGAAAUGUGACUCUUAGUGGAACUGCUUUCUAAAUUAAUGCCAAAUAUUUUUUUUUUUUUUAGUAUAAUCUUCAUUAAAAUAUGAUCCUUUGGAACUCUGUGCAUUCCAGACACAAAACUGAAGCAUCCUCAUCCUUUGUUCCUGGACUUCAAACUUGAACUGGAGAGAUAACUUUUAGAUGAUACAUCAGUCUGAUUUCUUCACUUCUUUGCUGAUACACAAGAACACUUAGCAGUUUUAGGGUUUGAUUAACCCACACAAUCCUGAGUAGAUGUCAGCAGAUUUGGCUUACAUAGAUUAGCUCACUGAUGCUUGUAUCAAUUUAAUUAAGUAUAUUGAAAAACAAAGAAACCAACCUUAGUUAACCCAAAAGUUAUGUAUAAGCACAAGCCUCAGUCCUAAUUUUUAGUGCUAUCUCCUUAAUAAUAACGAAUAAGGUUAUGUAUGAUUCAACCUGGAUAGCCAUCUAACUACUAGAGCUAUUAUAAUAGUACCUAAAUGUAACAUCAAGGCCAAGGAUCACCAUAAUUUGCUGAAAGUGUAGAAAAAUGUUGCACAUUUGAUUUGAUUGCUGUCUAGAUUAUUGAUUGAAGGCAAAAGUGUAUGAAAUCUAUAGUUUCUGGUAAAUUCAGUCACAUAUUACGACUAACAGAUAAGCAAAAUCCUACUUCAGAAUGUAUCAUUUGAGGUUUAUUGUAUUUCUUGGAGCUGAAGAAAAGACUCUUCUAGGAAAAUGCAAAUCUGGAAUUACUGUUUGAGGUGAAAGUAAUAUGUAUUUGCACUGGAAUGGGGGGUAGGCUUUGAGAAAAGGAGAGACCAGAUUAGUAAUAGUUUUUACUACAACUGGUUUGGGAACACAAUGUAAAAUAUUUUGGGGAAGUAUUUGAGCCACUGGACUAGAAUUGGACCUGCUGGAAUUUUCAAUCAGAAAACACCAAUUAAUUUGGGAAAAUUACAACUUUUUGACUGCUUGGAAGAGAGUACAUUUUUAAAGUAUUACAUUAUCCCUAAUGUCUAAACUCUAAUAAAACUGUUGAAAAGUAUCAGUGUAUCAUCACUUAACGGAACUGAACUGAGUUUAUUAGAAUUACCAGGAUUCAACUUCCAGAAAUUUCUUGUUCUUAGGUAAAUUUGUAGUCAUAUAUCCAUUCUGGUUUUUACCUAGCUCAGCACUUCCAUAUUAAUAAACAAGAAGCAGGGUAACAUUGUCCCUAGGUAUAAAUCACUACUGUCUACUGUUUAUGGAAGCUGAUAGCAGAACAGCCUUAAAGGUACCUUUGUAUUUUUAAUAGAUUUUUUUGUUCCUAUUAACUAGGAUUACACUGACUUUGCAAUCAGAAAUUGUUUUAUUCAUAUAGUAAGGAAAGAAUUUUUAAACUGAAUUGUGAAAUAGUUAAACGGCAGGAUCUCGAAGAGAAUGUUGUAAUGCUAUCAUCUGGAAAUUCAGCUAAACAAGAAACUUUUUGUCUCGCUGCUUCUUUUUCCACUUUAGCAUAUUGAAUGAAUGUCUAAUUUGCUUGAUUGAAACCUUUUGCUUCAAUAGUAAACUACUGGCUUGCUAAAAAUACAGAGAAACUUUUCAUGCAUCUGUACAGGAAUAUGAGCUCUAUUUGUAUCCUAAAAAGCUCAGAUGUUAUACGCAUGGUUCUGAAUAUACAGUGUGAGAUUGUGGUAUAAUCAGUGAUAUUUCCUGUGAAUGCACUUCCAGAUGAGUGUUGUCUCUUCUUGUCUUUCACAUUGAUAGUAUAACAAGUGAAUACUUGUUCUCUUUUUAUAGGACUUUAAAUUUAAUUCUGAGAAGCAUAGCAUAUUUUUUACCAUGUCCAGUAGAUGCUAGAUAUCAUUUAAACCAGCUAAACACUGCUGAAAGUCUAUUGAACACCUUCGGUUCUUGCAGACACCAGCUUGUCUCUCAUCGGUGCCAUCUCUUCUGCAGUUAUCCAAGUCCAGUUCUGAUCUAAUUGGAAUGAGGAAUCUCAUUAAUAUUAGUGGACUGAACAGUUUUUCCUCUAUGUUGUGGACUCAACUUCUAGAUGUGCUGGUUUGGCUCAAGACGCUAAGGCUAUGAGCAGAAGACAGGCAACCUGCAUCAAUAAGAGUACAUAAGGGCCCUGGACCAGGACUGGCUCCAGAUUGUCAACAAGUCUCCAGUGCUGGGGCGCCCGGGAUGGGAUGCACCACUCCAGAUGUAGCCCCACAAACGGGAGGAACUGUCUUACAAGAAAGAGAGGAAAAAAUCACUGUCCUUCUACACUCUAACACCGAGUACUUGAGGCAGCAGAGGGUUAAUAGAGCUGAAAUAAAGUUCCUAGACCAAACUUUAUUUACAUCAAUAUUCAAAACCUGGAGAGAUUCAGAACAAUUUUCCCUGCACAUGGAUUAUUUCUCCAUGCAUUAAAAUCAAGAGGAGAGAGUGAGGAAGGAAAAUCCCUAUAAAGUUCCCUUUGGAGUUCUCUCCAUCGACUUAAUUUGGGAAACAUGAAACUGGGAUUCAACAGAAUGAGGUAAGGAGCCUGGAAAACCUACAGUCUUCCUGUACUGGUGUUUAUUUCAUCAUUUUGCAGUUCCUCUGCACACAGCUGAGUCUCUGGAUCCAUUCUCUGUGCGGCAGGACAGUGUGAUGGUGUGUGGUGCUGUAUGACCAGUCUUCUGUACCAACGGAGAAACAUCCUUCCUGGAAAGAAGAUUCGGAGGGGUGCUCCCUUGCCGGAGCUGGUCAAUGGUCCAGUUCCACUUUUAAGGAAAUAGCAGCAGCAGACGAUGUCUCUGACUUUUCAUUUGCCGUUUCAGAACGUUAUGAAUGACAGUAAACAGCAAUGUUUGCCUUUUCUCUUGAAAUAUUUCAUGUGUGUUUGGGAGAUGCUCAAAAGACUUAGUUUAUGUUGGUUUGAGUACCAGGAGUGCAGUCGCACAGGCAUGACAGUGGCUGAUGGCAUGUUUCUCCUAGCUGGUUUAGAAAACAACCCAAGCUUGAAGUUAACUUCUGAACAGCUUUAAUGUCAAGAACAAGAGUUUGAAACUGCCACAGGGGAGCCGAUUUGUGAAAGAUCUGCUUUCUGGUGGCCCAACCUCAUCUGUGCUGCAUCGGCUGAAUUGUCUGAGCUUGAAAUCGAAGGUGGAGUAGUCCUGGUGAAAAUCUGUCCCCUGUGUGUCUGCUCAUUCUAUACAAGUUUCUGUGAUCAACCCCUCAGCCUGGGAAACUGCACCCAAGAAAAUGGGGUGCCACCUUUUAAAUAUUAUUCAGCCGCAAGUUUGACAGAGGAGAUUAUUCUUGUCAACAGCAGUUGCAAGCAGAAGUUGCCACAGAUGAAAUUGGUCUGCUAUGGUUAUGUCUUGUGAAUAAAAGAUAAUAUGAGAUUUCAUACAUUAUUUUGCACUGAGAUUUAAGAUAGAAAAAGAGCUAGAAGUGGGGUUUGGGUUUUUUUUGUCACUCUUCUGUAAUGUAAAACUCCUAGUUACUUUGUGAGAAUUUGCCUGAGCAUGGACUUUGGUGUUUGACUUCUAUAUCAACUAAGUAAAUAAUCAUAUUCUCAAGAAGGACUUGACCAGUAGACACAAAUGUAUAUACUGGAAUGUAAGGGUGUUAAGCUAAUUGUUACUGGUCCAGACAGUCCUGUGAGUUUGGAUAGGACAAAAUUAUGAGAAAACAGUGUGGAUUUGAAUCGCAAGGACUAUGCUCCAUUUCAGGCUUUUUUUUUCUUUUUUUAAUCACCACCCCACCAUUUUUUGCAGGCUUUGUCUCAUUUCCUAGUGUAUAUCUGGAAGGUUAAAUAGCCAGCUCAAGUUAUUUUGGUGGUGCUAUUUCUUCCUGGUGGCAUUAAGCCGUGACAUUCAAUCCACAGCAGCACAGCCAAGCAGCAUUUGAGGAUCUCUGUGUACAUUAGUUAUGUCAGACAUCAAAGCAGGAGGCUCACAUUUAGGUCUAACCCCACCCAUAUUAUUAAAUUUAAAGAUGAUGUCAAUACUGUUGUGAGUUACGCAUCAAAUAUAAAUUGGUUACAGAACAUUUCUGAAUGUUAAACGACCUCAGAUUGCCUCAGUUGGUGAGAUUAGAUGGUGAAUAUAAUUUACAUGUUGAGCAGUGGAAAAAUUCUUCCUUGUACUAACAAGGAUACAUUAAACAAUGUCUCCAGCCAGUUUCCUUCCCUUAACAUCCUUUGCUUCUCAAGUUAUUGUUUAAUACACUUCCUAAUCCUAAAUUAGCUCAGGUAGUACUGAUUUAGUACUGUUUGGUAUUGAUGUAGCAAUUGCACAUUUUUUUUUCUGACCGACAUACAUGAUAAGAAGCUUUUCAUUUCUGAACUGAACAAUUAUAGGCUUGUUCUGCUGGUGAACUGAAUAUGCAAAUAAUUAUGAGAAAAAUAGGCAAUGCUCCCAGGAAAGCCUCUAGUUUCCAAGUCCAGUCCAAUUAGUAAAGAAGGAAGCUUUCUUACACAGCUUUUAUCACGGACUGUUUCACUGAUCAGAUAGCGAUUAUUAAUAGAGAUGGGACUGAACACUCUCUAGAUUGAAAAGUAACUAGGUAUAGAGUAAAUUAUAUCAAGUACUGAUUAAUGUAAUGCAGGUUUAUAAAUAUCAUCACAUCAAGUUAUCACAUGUAACAUGAUGAAAAUACAUAGACAUCUGCAGUGCUUUAAAGGUGCCCUAGAUAAUCCAAGAUAAACACUUAAAAACUUACUUUGCUUAAUUUAAAAGGAGAUUUUAGCUUACCUAUGUAGUGUCUUUCCUUAUUUUGUGUAACAGAUGUAUCUGAUCAGGAGCUGGCAUAUGCCUUCUGGAAACUGGCUGAAAGAUGGGGCAGCAAUAACUGCUGCAGAGCUGUCUUCAGAAUAUACUUUACAUCAAUACAGAAAAUCUCCAUUGGGGGCAUAGAAAACAUGGACAAAGAAAAAGGAGACAAAAAUUUCAGACAAUCUUCAGCCCCGGGUUCUUAUGAUGUUUGAUAGUCCAGCUCCUGUGUUUAAAAGCAAGAAUAUCCCAUUACUAUGUGGGAAACACGAGGCUUAACACAAGGCCAUGGAGUAAUAAAAGCCUGACACUCUCCUUAAAACAGGCAUGUUUAUGCGGGGUAAUAACUUAAAUAAUAAAGUGGGAUUUCACCUGAAAUGUGCCAGGAGAAUAUGGCAUAGGAGGCCUGACCUUAUAGAUGGUUUGUUUGCUAAAUGACGAGGUCACCUAAACUUGAGGACUCCAGAAGUGCAGCAUGUCAGUGACUCCCUUAUUUCUCCUUCCUAACCAGCUCUGGUGUGACUCUGUGUGUGCCCCUUGGCUUUUAUGAAGUUUUAGAUCUUUAGGAUUCAAGGCCUCUGGAAGUCCUUGUUUGGUAAGCUGUUUGUCAAGUGCCUACUCAUUUAUCAGAACAUACUCUGUGGUUUUAUUUGGCCAAAAUUAAAAGCAUUGAAAGUGAUAAUUGCUGCAAACAAGGCUAUAAAAGCUUAGGAAAAACAGGCAACACUGGGGUUCUUAAACACUGGGGGCUUGAAAAGAAAGGCAGAGGGCUGAGUCAAAUAACCACUGCCAUAGUCUGUCUCUGUUGGGUGGCUGCAGUUUUGAUAAACAAAAAAGAGAACAGCCAGAGGUGCACAGAGACUCUGGGGCAAAGUAAAAGAUUUCAGCUGCUGCUGUCUUGGUGUAUCCUGUCUGACGGGGCAGUAAACAGCACCCAUGCAAACCCUUCAUCUAGGGAGGUGAAGCUCCAGUAAGCUAGGUAAGCCUUCAGCAGGGCUUGUGCUGGAAGAGUUAAUUUAGGUUUCUUUCAAAAGGAGCACUAAGAGAACAUCUUACUGCUCACUGACAGUGUCAGAAGUAAAUCUGAAGUGAACCAGGGAUGAUACAAAGGUCUAUAACCUAAAUGGAUAUAAUAUAAAUAUGGGAUCAUGGGGGCUAGAAGGGUGAAGAUGCUAACUGUAAGGCAGAUGGUGACAUUUAUCGACUGUAACAUUUAUUGACUGUAAUACUUAUUGACGGAUCAUUAAAAGGCUUCUAUUGCCUUGGCACUUCAGUACCUACUGCAUAGGAAACAGAGUGAGUCAACAAAUCGUAGAACUAAAAAUAAAAGCUCCAUCAACUCGUGGUCUGAUGCAAAAAUAGUUCGGAGAGCACUUGAAAGCUUGGUCAAGCCGGCAGAUGUAAUGCUUACCCUUAACGCUUUAGGCCAAGCUUUGCUGUAUUAGGCUGAGCCUUGCUGCAUGCCAGGCUGGGGCUCUGGCCGGUUGCCAGAGGGAGCAGGUUCCCAGAACCCUCCCCUGAGCGUGCCUUGCUGUCAGUACUGGCCAGUGCAAACCCCGGACCCGAAAAAUAGCAAGGAUGGCCCAGCAGAUGGUAACACUUGCUGUGUCACAGGGACAUGGUGAUUUCCCAUGUGAAUGGGGACCAAUCCAGUUUUAUAGUUUUAUCAAAUGUAGCCAGUAUGUUGACUACUCCUACAACUGUGAAUGAGAAUCCCCUUGUAAACCUCAACAACCAAUAAAUCCCACCAAAUUACCUGCCCAAUCCUCUUCCUCUUUACCUGAGCAAAGUGUGGCCACAUCGUCAUAAAUACGCGCAUGGGUACAUUUUGUUGCUGCUGCUGCUCAGUGCAUUGACCAAGAGCCUCUAGCCUCUCUGUGUUCUCCUCUCCCACCCCAUGUGCUGCAUUUCCAUCCUCCUGUACUUCAGAAAUGUCUUGAAAACUGUCUGCCUCCUGCCAAAGACUUUGGAAUAAAGUGGGGGACAGGCUAUUCACACCAGUAGCAGGACACUACUUCCCUCUGGUAAGCACUGCAUGUUUAAAACCAAAACGGGCAUAGAGCUCUGGCAAACUUUUAUAGGACUGAAAAAUAUGAAUAGAAAAGGACUGUACAAAAUACACCCAAGGGUCACUCCAUGUAGCUUCCAGCCCAAUGGGUCUGUAUCUCAGAGAAAAGGAUUUUCUUCUAUUAACCUAGUUUACCAAGUGAAUUUUCCACAAGGCAGUGAACGAGCAUCAUUAGCAUUCACUCUGAGUGAAAGACUGGCUUUGACUGUGGUUCUGCUUAUUUGACUUCUCUCACUAAGCCUUAUCCAUCAUGACGAAUGCUUGGCCCACUUUGAUUCUGGUAGGCAUAAGGCAAAGUCUGCUGAGGAAUGAAACCUGGGUGAAGUCCAGUCUCUGCUACUGCAGUCAAGUCAUAUAAUCAGUUUAACGCACUCGUUAUAUUCCUUUCUAAAAAUGGUUGGGUUAUUUGCCCCACUAUUUCUUAGUAGCAUUGACAAUUUUAAUGGCUAGAAGAAUCAACUAUCUUUUUCUGAUUUCCAUCACAAAUUUAGUCAGGACCUGUUUAUUUCCACUUGUUCAUGCGCUAGCAUUGUCCUUAAGCUUAAAUACCUUUUGCCUGUCUGUCUGUGAUAUUUACCCACUGAUGUAUUUAUAGACAGCCCUCCUGCCCCCUUUCUCAGGCUUUGUUUCACCAGGGCAAACAAGCCAAGCUCCCGUAAGAUCACUGUCAGUCUUCCAAUGACUCUGUUUCAGUGUGAUUUAAUUUUUCUGGAACACAAGUAUCCAAGUCUCUGUGCUAUACUCCAAAUGAGGUUUUACUAAUGAUUCUGUAACACUUUUUACCUUUACUCUGCCCAAAAUUCUUCAUCAAAUACAUCCUAGAAUCCAGUUUGCCCUUUUUUAUGAAUGGUCAUGUCGGUCCUCUGUAACCAGAGCUCAUUGCAAAAGUUUUGGAGCUCUCUGUUUAAGAAAUGUCACAGAUUCAUCAGCUUCAAGGGAGCUGUGACAACUUCCACCAGCUGGGGAUCUGCAUCUGAUAUUUCAGCUUGCAGGACACAGCUUUCUCUGUGGCUGGCCUGAAAUAGUGGAGCUCACUGCCAACUCCCCUCCCCCAAGACCUUCCCCAGGGGAACCACUGAUUUGCUUCCACCCGGUCUGCAAUGUUGAAAAAGCACUUACUCCAUCUCAUGCUAACAAAAUACAGGGGAAAAUUUGGCAAAUACCAUCCAUUCAGUAUGCCUGUGUUAAAAAAAAAUAAAUCUGAAAAUCUCAGCUCCUUUUUCUUUUUGUUUAAAUUCAAAACAUUUUCAAUCAUUUUAGCCAUUUUGAUUUCUAGCCAUUCAAUUCUUGCUCUUCAUUUCUUUCUCACUCCUUAUUAAACGUCAAAAAAACUUUUGAAAUGGCAAUUAAAAUAGAUUUCUUUCCGUGGAGAAAGCCUAUGCAACUGCACUACUGCCUAUUGUCCUCCUUAAUUUCUUCCUUUCUCAGGUCUAUCCUUCAUCUUCUAUCAUCUGUGAUUUAGACUAAGUCCUUUGUGGCAAGAACCUUCAUUUUAUAAAUGUCUCUGCCUAAAGCAGAGACAUUAUUUGUUUCUGAAAGUAUAAAGAAUGUAGCAGAUCAAUGCCAUUAUCCUGAACUGCACUUAGAAGACAAAGGCAGUGUGGCUGUGGAAUUGAUGCUCUCAGAGCAUGGAAGCAGAGAUACAUUUUGGGCUACCACAAACUUGUGAGAGGACUCUGUGGAUAUUUCCAUCUAAAGAUCAUAGCCAGGGUAAAAGCUACAAAAGCACUAAUAUAUAAUAUAUAUUAAUGUAAGGAUACAGGAUAUAAUAUAUAGUAAUAUAAGGCUACAGAGGAGGACCAUGAAGUUGGUGAAGGGUUUAGAGCGGACGCCGUAUGAGAAACAGCUAAAGUCACUUGAUUUGUUCAGCGUGGAGAAGAGGAGACUGAAGGGACACCUCAUGGCGGCUACAGCUUCCUCACAAGGGGAGGAGGAGGCGCAGGCGCUGAUCUCUUCUCUCUGGUGACCAACGACAGAACCCAAGGGAAUGGCAGGAAGAUGUGCCAGGGGAGAUUUAGGUUGGACUUUAGGAAAAGGUUCUUCCCCCAGAGGCUGGUGGAGCACUGGAACAGGCUCCCCAGGGAGGUGUCACGUCCCCAAGCCUGACAGUGUUCAAGAAGAGACUGGACAACACCCUCAGACACAUGGUGUGAACUGUGGGGUUGUCCUGUGCAGGGACAGGAGUUGGACUUGAUGAUCCUUGUGGGUCCUUUCAGACUCAGGACAUUCAGUGAUUCUAAUGACUGUGAUAAAGGUUGUAACGCACAGAAUUGUCUUGGUUGCCCCAUCAAAUGAAGCAGUUGUUAACAAAAAUUUUGACUGCUAAGACUAAGAUAGCUAAGGAUCUGUCAGCAGCCUGGACUCUGAGCUCAGAGAGCAUGGUGUCAAUAGGCUGCAAUGAUUUGAAAUAAAGAUGUGGUGACAGUAUUUCAGCUUUUGAAUAGACCUUAAAGGCAUUUGCCCAGGAAGUAGAAGAGCAACUGGGCUAGAGGCUUGAGAGAUUUGGAAUCCAUAUCCAGGGCUAAAUAAAUCAGGGAGUUGAGCUCUAAGGUAUCUCUCUCACAGAUAAAAGCCCUAACCAUCUCAGCAUCACUGUUUUCCCUCAGACCCUGUGACGGGUGCCUGCAGCUCCCAUGGAAGAAAAAGGUUUAUAAACACCUUUUUCUUUGCUUUUUCUUUUUAGGACUGGUUUGGACAUUUCUGCAUUCAGGACACUUCAUACUGUGAACUCUGUCUGAGAGGACCAAGCCUGCCUGGCCAACCAACAUAGAAUAAUUUUGGUUGGAAAAGAUCUUUAACAUAAUCAAGAUCAACCAUCACACUGCCCUGGAGCUGAGCAGCUUGAUUGACAGGCUUCUCAGGACCAGAAAUUUUGCAUCUGCCUAUUAAAAAUGUGCAAGAUAAUGAAGUAAUUGGUUCUUUGUUGGUGUUUUUUCUCCAUUGCCACCUGUGCCAGUACCAUGCAGCUCACGGAUCUGCCUUCCAGAGUUCAGCAACACCAUCUUUGGCGUAUAGAUUUUAACUGACACCUUCAGCUGACAGGUAGUCAAUCAACAGCAAAGAGAACUGGUGAUAUUGAACUUGUGAUAGCUGGUUUCAGUAACUGCAAAAGACUAGCUCCCCUGCAAGCCUCCAGAUACUUUUGAAAGGCAGGUUUAACUAGACAUGGAAAUAUAUCUCUGAGUUUAAUUCAGAAGUGUUGCUUUGUUGGGGGUGAGGAUUUUUACUCAGAGGGAUGUAAACCUCCCUGGGCUAAAACUACAGUGAUAGUUACAUACAGCACGUGAAUCCCAGCACAGUGAUUGAUCCAGUAUGACCCUUACAUAGCUAAUUACAGACUGUCAAGGCAAUUUCUGCUCAAGCCAGACCAAUAUUUAAUUAGCCUCCUCCCCAUUGGAAUCCUGACCUUGGUUUGGCACCAGGAAAACAAAGAGUCGUGUAUGCGGCCAAAGCAUCUCGUUGCUGCUCCAGGGGAAGGCAGAUGAGAUAGUAACAGCUGAAAAUGAAAAAUGUCAAAUGAAAGUCCAAAAUGAAGCAGCAGCUUUCUCUACCUCCUAUUUUCUUCUU